AGAAUCAACGCUGGCGGCGUGCCUAACACAUGCAAGUCGAACGAGAAAGUGGAGCAAUCCAUGAGUAAAGUGGCGCACGGGUGAGUAACACGUGACUAACCUACCCUUGAGUGGGGGAUAACCUAGAGAAAUCUGGGCUAAUACCGCAUAAUACCUUCGGGUCAAAGGAGCAAUUCGCUUAAGGAGGGGGUCGCGGCCGAUUAGUUAGUUGGCGGGGUAAUGGCCCACCAAGACUGUGAUCGGUAUCCGGCCUGAGAGGGCGCACGGACACACUGGAACUGAAACACGGUCCAGACUCCUACGGGAGGCAGCAGUGGGGAAUUUUGCGCAAUGGGGGAAACCCUGACGCAGCAACGCCGCGUGGAGGAUGAAGCCCCUUGGGGCGUAAACUCCUUUCGAUCGGGAAGAUAAUGACGGUACCGAGAGAAGAAGCCCCGGCUAACUCGUGCCAGCAGCCGC
rnacentral:rRNA from 1 species